rnacentral:rRNA from 1 species
GACGAACGCUGGCGGCGUGCUUAACACAUGCAAGUCGAACGGAAAGGCCCUGCUUUUGUGGGGUGCUCGAGUGGCGAACGGGUGAGUAACACGUGAGUAACCUGCCCUUGACUUUGGGAUAACUUCAGGAAACUGGGGCUAAUACCGGAUAGGAGCUCCUGCUGCAUGGUGGGGGUUGGAAAGUUUCGGCGGUUGGGGAUGGACUCGCGGCUUAUCAGCUUGUUGGUGGGGUAGUGGCUUACCAAGGCUUUGACGGGUAGCCGGCCUGAGAGGGUGACCGGCCACAUUGGGACUGAGAUACGGCCCAGACUCCUACGGGAGGCAGCAGUGGGGAAUAUUGCACAAUGGGCGGAAGCCUGAUGCAGCAACGCCGCGUGCGGGAUGACGGCCUUCGGGUUGUAGACCGCUUUCGCCUGUGACGAAGCGUGAGUGACAGUAAUGGGUAAAGAAGCACCGGCUAACUACGUG